ensembl:snoRNA
AGCAAGUGAUGUUUUCUCACGAUGGUCUUCCAAGUCCUAAGACUUUGACGAAAUCGCCUUUUGGCAACACUGAUGCAGCCAG